GAUGAACGCUGGCGGCGUGCCUAAUACAUGCAAGUCGAGCGAACAGACGAGGAGCUUUCUCCUCUGACGUUAGCGGCGGACGGGGGAGUAACACGUGGAUACCCUCCCUAUUAGACUGGGAUAACUUCGUGAAACCGGAGCUAAUACCGGAUAAUCUAUUUAACCGCAUGGUUCAAUAGUGAAAGACGGUUUUGCUUUCACUUAUACAUUCAUCCGCGCCGCAUUAGCUAGUUGGUAAGGUAACGGCUUACCAAGGCAACGAUGCGUAGCCGACCUGAGAGGGUGAUCGGCCACACUGGAACGGAGACACGGUCCAGACUCCUACGGGAGGCAGCAGUAGGGAAUCUUCCGCAAUGGGCGAAAGCUUGACGGAGCAACGCCGCGUGAGUGAUGAAGGUCUUCGGAUCGUAAAACUCUGUUAUUAGGGAAGAACAAAUGUGUAAGUAACUAUGCACGUCUUGACGGUACCUAAUCAGAAAGCCACGGCUAACUACGUG
rnacentral:rRNA from 1 species